CAGAGCUUGAAAAAUGCUGUGUUGCUCCCUUAUGGCCUCCAGAAAGAUUUCUGAUGAGAAAUCCACUGUCAUCCAAAUAGAUUUUCCCUGGUAUGAUCCAGGCUCUUAAGAAGGCAGUGCUUGGAUAAGGGGAGAAUGUGUUCUUGGGAGUCUCCCAUUCUGGAAGUCUGGGUCCAUACUGUCUGAUAUCUGUUAUCCAGGGAAUCUUGCUUAUCCUGCUGCAAAUAAAAAGUAUUUCUCAUGUUA